GAUGAACGCUGGCGGCGUGCCUAAUACAUGCAAGUCGAGCGAACAGACGAGGAGCUUGCUCCUCUGACGUUAGCGGCGGACGGGUGAGUAACGCGUGGAUAACCUACCUAUAAGACUGGGAUAACUUCGGGAAACCGGAGCUAAUACCGGAUAAUAUAUUGAACCGCAUGGUUCAAUAGUGAAAGACGGUUUUGCUGUCACUUAUAGAUGGAUCCGCGCCGCAUUAGCUAGUUGGUAAGGUAACGGCUUACCAAGGCGACGAUGCGUAGCCGACCGGAGAGGGUGAUCGGCCACACUGGAACUGAGACACGGUCCAGACUCCUACGGGAGGCAGCAGUAGGGAAUCUUCCGCAAUGGGCGAAAGCCUGACGGAGCAACGCCGCGUGAGUGAUGAAGGUCUUCGGAUCGUAAAACUCUGUUAUUAGGGAAGAACAAAUGUGUAAGUAACUAUGCACGUCUUGACGGUACCUAAUCAGAAAGCCACGGCUAACUACGUG
rnacentral:rRNA from 1 species